GACAGAGGGUGCAAACGUUGUUCGGAAUUACUGGGCGUAAAGCGCGUGUAGGCUGCUCGGAAAGUCGGAUGUGAAAGCCCUGGGCUCAACCUAGGAAGUGCAUUCGAAACUUCCGAGCUGGAGUUUCGGAGAGGAAGGCGGAAUUCUCGGUGUAGAGGUGAAAUUCGUAGAUAUCGGUAGGAACACCCGUGGCGAAGGCGGUCUCCUGGGACGUUCUUGACGCUGAGGCGCGAAAGCUGGGGGAGCGAACGGG
rnacentral:rRNA from 1 species